UACGAAGGGGGCUAGCGUUGUUCGGAUUUAUUGGGCGUAAAGCGCGCGCAGGCGGUCCUUUAAGUCUGAUGUGAAAGCCCACGGCUCAACCGUGGAGGGUCAUUGGAAACUGGGGGACUUGAGUGCAGGAGAGAAGAGUGGAAUUCCACGUGUAGCGGUGAAAUGCGUAGAUAUCUGGAGGAACACCGGUGGCGAAGGCGGCGUCCUGGACCAACACUGACACUGAUGAGCGAAAGCCAGGGGAGCAAACGGG
rnacentral:rRNA from 1 species